rnacentral:rRNA from 1 species
GGGUCAGUAGGUUGGUCGUGCCACCGGUACGUACUGGUCUCACUGAUUCCUCCUUCCUGAAGAACCGUAAUGCCAUUAAUUUGGUGUUGCGGGGAAACAGGACUGUUACUUUGAAAAAAUUAGAGUGUUUAAAGCAGGCUAACGCUUGAAUACAUUAGCAUGGAAUAAUGGAAUAGGACGAUCGAUCCUAUUUUGUUGGUUUCUAGGAUUGACGUA